rnacentral:rRNA from 1 species
UCGAGAAUCUUUCACAAUGGGGGAAACCCUGAUGGAGCGACGCCGCGUGGAGGAUAAGGUCUUCGGAUUGUAAACUCCUGUCAUGCGAGAGCAAGAUUGGUCAUUUAAUAGGUGAUUAAUUUGAUAGUAUCGCAAGAGGAAGAGACGGCUAACUCUGUGCCAGCAGCCGCGGUAAUACAGAGGUCUCAAGCGUUGUUCGGAAUCACUGGGCGUAAAGGGUGCGUAGGUGGCGUGGUAAGUCAGAUGUGAAAGCCCAGGGCUCAACCCUGGAAUUGCAUCCGAUACUGCCGUGCUAGAGAACUGAAGGGGAGUCUGGAAUUCUCGGUGUAGCAGUGAAAUGCGUAGAUAUCGAGAGGAACACCAAUGGCGAAGGCAAGACUCUGGGCAGUUUCUGACACUGAGGCACGAAGGCCAGGGUAGCGAACGGG